UGGGGAAUAUUGGACAAUGGGCGAAAGCCUGAUCCAGCCAUGCCGCGUGUGUGAAGAAGGCCUUUUGGUUGUAAAGCACUUUAAGUGGGGAGGAAAAGCUUAUGGUUAAUACCUAUAAGCCCUGACGUUACCCACAGAAUAAGCACCGGCUAACUCUGUGCCAGCAGCCGCGGUAAUACAGAGGGUGCAAGCGUUAAUCGGAAUUACUGGGCGUAAAGCGCGCGUAGGUGGUUAUUUAAGUCAGAUGUGAAAGCCCCGGGCUUAACCUGGGAACUGCAUCUGAUACUGGAUAACUAGAGUAGGUGAGAGGGGAGUAGAAUUCCAGGUGUAGCGGUGAAAUGCGUAGAGAUCUGGAGGAAUACCGAUGGCGAAGGCAGCUCCCUGGCAUCAUACUGACACUGAGGUGCGAAAGCGUGGGUAGCAAACAGGAUUAGAUACCCUGGUAGUCCACGCCGUAAACGAUGUCUACCAGUCGUUGGGUCUUUUAAAGACUUAGUGACGCAGUUAACGCAAUAAGUAGACCGCCUGGGGAGUACGGCCGCAAGGUUA
rnacentral:rRNA from 1 species